rnacentral:tRNA from 1 species
GGCCUGAUGGCGGAGCGGUUACGCAGCGGAUUGCAAAUCCGUGAAGCCGAGUUCGACUCUCGGUCAGGCCUCCA